GAAGAGAGGGGCUUGCUCUUCUUGGAUGAGUUGCGAACGGGUGAGUAACGCGUAGGUAACCUGCCUUGUAGCGGGGGAUAACUAUUGGAAACGAUAGCUAAUACCGCAUAACAAUGGAUGACACAUGUCAUUUAUUUGAAAGGGGCAAUUGCUCCACUACAAGAUGGACCUGCGUUGUAUUAGCUAGUAGGUGAGGUAACGGCUCACCUAGGCGACGAUACAUAGCCGACCUGAGAGGGUGAUCGGCCACACUGGGACUGAGACACGGCCCAGACUCCUACGGGAGGCAGCAGUAGGGAAUCUUCGGCAAUGGGGGCAACCCUGACCGAGCAACGCCGCGUGAGUGAAGAAGGUUUUCGGAUCGUAAAGCUCUGUUGUAAGUCAAGAACGAGUGUGAGAGUGGAAAGUUCACACUGUGACGGUAGCUUACCAGAAAGGGACGGCUAACUACGUGCCAGCAGCCGCGGUAAUACGUAGGUCCCGAGCGUUGUCCGGAUUUAUUGGGCGUAAAGCGAGCGCAGGCGGUUUGAUAAGUCUGAAGUUAAAGGCUGUGGCUCAACCAUAGUUCGCUUUGGAAACUGUCAAACUUGAGUGCAGAAGGGGAGAGUGGAAUUCCAUGUGUAGCGGUGAAAUGCGUAGAUAUAUGGAGGAACACCGGUGGCGAAAGCGGCUCUCUGGUCUGUAACUGACGCUGAGGCU
rnacentral:rRNA from 1 species